UUGAAUUAUUAUGACUUGAAGGAUAUGAGUGACAAAUUGGGUGAGAGAUUGUUGAAUUAUGUAACUUUAUCUUGGUAAUUGUUAUGAAUUGAAGGAUAUGGGUAACUUAUGCAUUUGUGUAACCGACGUCUAUUUUCUCUUCUUGGAUAUUGUUCCUAAUGGAUUGAUUAGAGUGUAUGACAGAUUUAUUGCUCGUCUUAUCUACAAAACUGGUGCUAUCUAUUCCAGCAACAAAUAUGACCUGUAGCAUAGCUCAAGUAGCUAACCGUCUAAGUUGAAUGAAGCAGAAAGAUUAGAUGGGGCUUUUAUUAAACGGACACAAUCUUUAUUUUGUUCUUUUAUCAAAUAGCUUUGGUUCAAAAUGCAGGAAAAUAUGUUGUAGGUGGGAAAUAUAAAACAAAGUUUCUAAUUUUACCAUUUCACAGAAGACUGAAACAUUGCAGUUAGUUCUAAUAAGUCUAACAAUCAAGACAAGCCUCAUCAAAUAGGAGGAAGAGGUGAGAAGCACAACUUUCAGGCAAAGCAGAUCAAACGGGAAUCUUAACAAGAAAAGGAAGGAUGAAGAAGAUGCAAGCAAUGAAUCCUGCAAUGUUUUUGGUCUAUAAAGUUUCACUAGGAUUCCUAAUGAAAGCUUCACAUAGAGCUUCAUAGGAAGCUUGUUGCAGCAGUUAAUUAUUUAUGCAUUGGAGAUUUUGACCUGAUGAAUGUUGAAGGAGUUACAAGAGGGAAUGUGGCAAGCCAUCUCCAGGAAAGAUAUCAAGAAGUAUUACGGGAAAAAUCACAGUCUCAGUCUGAUAUUGAUCAAUGUUAAGCAUAUUACGAAGCUGCUGGGGGAACAAGGAAGAGAAUAAUAUAUGGUCUUGGAUCUCAAGCACAAAGUUAUUGUGGAUCAAAUCUUUGCGUCAAUUCUGGCUUUAAUCUUCAGCAUCAGCAGCACCUUCAACUUCUCAAUCAGCACCGACAGAAAAUAUGGAGGAGUUAGUGAUGCGAUUGAUUCCUACACUGACUGAUCGCUUGCUUCCUUUAUUUAUUGAGAAGGCACGCGGAGUGAUUUUUUCACCAUCACAUCAUCCAAAUACUCAUAUCGACAAACCAUCAGUUGUGACACCCAUAGUGCCUCCUCCUACUAUUGUUAUCUGCUUUUUGUUGGAAAGAACAAAAUUAUGCACUAACAAUACUUGAUGGAUGUGUGGGUUCUUUUGGUAGUUGAUAGCUUGGUGUUGUCGGUGUUUUGGACUGAACAAUUAGGAUUCCGCUAUCUAUUUUGAA